AACGCUUGCAAAGAAAAAAGAAAACAAGAAAGAUGACAAAAAUAGCAGAAACAACAAAAAAGAAAAGAAAAUAUAUAUGUAAUCGGCUAUAAAGCUGUAAGAUUGAGAUGUGUUUUUUUUACAGAAAAUAAAAAAUAGAAUAGAAAACUACAAUAGUUUUAAGCAGAAGGUAGUUCUUUUUCUUUAUUAUUUUUUGAGUCACGCAUACAUUAAAAAAAUUUAAUUAAUUCAUUUUUUUUCGUUGCCUCAGCUAUCGGUGUCG
rnacentral:lncRNA from 1 species